AUACGGAAGGUGCAAGCGUUAAUCGGAAUCACUGGGCGUAAAGCGCUCGUAGGUGGCCUUGUAAGUCAGGUGUGAAAGCCCACGGCUCAACCGUGGAAAAUUGCACUUGAUACUGCAUUGCUUGAGUUCGGGAGAGGGUAGUGGAAUUCCAGGUGUAGGAGUGAAAUCCGUAGAGAUCUGGAGGAACACCAGUGGCGAAGGCGACUACCUGGACCGAUACUGACACUGAGGAGCGAAAGCGUGGGGAGC
rnacentral:rRNA from 1 species